ACAAGAUAGGCUCAACCCUAUAUUUGGGUUCGACAACACAACACGACAAGAUAGGCUCAACCCUAUAUUUGGGUUCGACAAUAUGACACGACAAGAUAGGCUCAACCCUAUAUUUGGGUUCGACAAUAUGACACGACAAAAUAGGCUCAACCCUAUACUUGCGUUCGAAAAUAUGACACGACAAUAGGCUCAACCCAACUUAGUCUCAAACAUACAUCAUAAUUCAACUAGCAUCACAAACAACAAGACAGAAUAGAUCAACAUGUAGCAUCACAAACAACAAGCAAGAAUAGUUCAACAUGUAGCAUCACCAACAACAAGCCAGAAUAGUUCAACAUGUAGCAUCACAAACAACAAUCCCAACUAGUUCAGCAUAGACUCAAACAACAUGACACAAUAGUCUGAAACAUACAUAAUAAUUUAAGCACUGCAUCAUCAUCUUCACUCCUCCAAGAUUGCCUUCAUCAUCUUCAGCUUCCUCUUGUUCUCCUCUCCAACCUUCCAAAGGUCAUGUAAGUUAUAUUCAAGUUGUUUCUUCUCCUUUUUGAGCUCAGCAGCAACCUCUUCAGCCACUUCAACCUUCUUUUUCAGAUCAAAGAUCUCUUUCUCUAAGUUGAUCAUCUUGUCAGCUGCAUCUAGAGAUAUCUUCUCCUCAUCCACAUCCAUCAUUAUUUUCCUAUAAUUCUCCUUGUGCACAGACUUCUGAACAGAUUCACAAAAGUCCUUGGUAAGCUGAAGGUGCUGGUUGUACUUUUCCUGUACCAUCUUAAUUUCUGCUUCUAACUUGGAGAUCUUCUCCUCAUUAGCUAAAUUAUCUCCAAUUCUGCCUGCCUUGGCUUCCUUAUACAGAGCCCAGAGUUUUGUCAGUGAAUUCUUUAAUGCAUAAGGCCAUUCAUUGUCCACCCAUUCCACAAC
rnacentral:lncRNA from 1 species